UUAAGCAUAUCAAUAAGCGGAGGAAAAGAAACUAACAAGGAUUCCCCUAGUAACUGCGAGUGAAGCGGGAAGAGCUCAAAUUUAAAAUCUGGCGGCUUUGCCGUCCGAGUUGUAAUUUAGAGAAGCGUUUUCCGCGCCGGACCGUGUACAAGUCUCCUGGAACGGAGCGUCAUAGAGGGUGAGAAUCCCGUCUUUGACACGGACCUCCCGGUGCUUUGUGAUACGCUCUCGAAGAGUCGAGUUGUUUGGGAAUGCAGCUCAAAAUGGGUGGUGAACUCCAUCUAAAGCUAAAUAUUGGCGAGAGACCGAUAGCGAACAAGUACCGUGAGGGAAAGAUGAAAAGCACUUUGGAAAGAGAGUGAAACAGUACGUGAAAUUGCUGAAAGGGAAACGCUUGAAGUCAGUCGCGUCCGCCGGAAUUCAGCCCUUGUGGUGUACUUUCUGACGGACGGGCCAGCAUCACUUUUGACCGCCGGAAAAGGGUGGAGGGAAUGUGGCACCUUCGGGUGUGUUAUAGCCCUCCGUCGUAUACGGUGGUUGGGAGUGAGGACCGCCUAUCUUUUGUAGGAUGCUGGCGUAAUGGCUUUAAACGACCCGUCUUGAAACACGGACCAAGGAGUCUAACAUGCCCGCGAGUGUUCGGGUGGAAAACCCGUGCGCGUAAUGAAAGUGAAAGUUGGGAAGGCUGUCGUGGCCUGCACCGACGCCCGGACCUGAGAUUUAUCGACGGUUCUGCGGUAGAGCGUGUAUGUUGGGACCCGAAAGAUGGUGAACUAUGCCUGAAUAGGGUGAAGCCAGAGGAAACUCUGGUGGAGGCUCGUAGCGAUUCUGACGUGCAAAUCGAUCGUCGAAUUUGGGUAUAGGGGCG
rnacentral:rRNA from 1 species